rnacentral:tRNA from 1 species
GCGACCGUAGCUCAGUUGGUUAGAGCGCUGGUUUGUGGUACCAGAGGUCGGGGGUUCGAGACCCCUCGGUCGCCCCA